CAGCCGCCACGGUAAAACGGAGGGUGCAAGCGUUAUCCGGAUUUAUUGGGUUUAAAGGGUCCGUAGGCGGAUCUGUAAGUCAGUGGUGAAAUCUCACAGCUUAACUGUGAAACUGCCAUUGAUACUGCAGGUCUUGAGUAAAUUUGAAGUGGCUGGAAUAAGUAGUGUAGCGGUGAAAUGCAUAGAUAUUACUUAGAACACCAAUUGCGAAGGCAGGUCACUAAGAUUUAACUGACGCUGAUGGACGAAAGCGUGGGGAGCAAACAGGAUUAGAUACCCGCGUAGUCCCUGUCUCUUAUAC
rnacentral:rRNA from 1 species